GUGAUAAUGUAGCGAGAUUUUCUGUUGUGCUUGAUCUAACCAUGUGGUUGCGAGGAAUGAGUAAAACAUGGUUCCGUCAAGCACCAUGGAACGUCACGCAGCUUUCUACA
ensembl:miRNA